rnacentral:rRNA from 1 species
GAUGAACGCUGACAGAAUGCUUAACACAUGCAAGUCUACUUGAACUUCGGUUUGGGUGGCGGACGGGUGAGUAACGCGUAAAGAACUUGCCUCACAGUUAGGGACAACAUUUGGAAACGAAUGCUAAUACCUGAUAUUAUGAUUUUAGGGCAUCCUAAGAUUAUGAAAGCUAUAUGCGCUGUGAGAGAGCUUUGCGUCCCAUUAGCUAGUUGGAGAGGUAACGGCUCACCAAGGCGAUGAUGGGUAGCCGGCCUGAGAGGGUGAACGGCCACAAGGGGACUGAGACACGGCCCUUACUCCUACGGGAGGCAGCAGUGGGGAAUAUUGGACAAUGGACCAAAAGUCUGAUCCAGCAAUUCUGUGUGCACGAUGACGUUUUUCGGAAUGUAAAGUGCUUUCAGUUGGGAAGAAAAAAAUGACGGUACCAACAGAAGAAGUGACGGCUAAAUACGUGCCAGCAGCCGCGGUAAUACGUAUGUCACAAGCGUUAUCCGGAUUUAUUGGGCGUAAAGCGCGUCUAGGUGGUUAUGUAAGUCUGAUGUGAAAAUGCAGGGCUCAACUCUGUAUUGCGUUGGAAACUGCAUGACUAGAGUACUGGAGAGGUAAGCGGAACUACAAGUGUAGAGGUGAAAUUCGUAGAUAUUUGUAGGAAUGCCGAUGGGGAAGCCAGCUUACUGGACAGAUACUGACGCUAAAGCGCGAAAGCGUGGGUAGCAAACAUG